CCUGCCUCUGCCGGGGCUCCCAGAGCCCAGCACAGGAGACGGAGGAGACCCGGAAUGGAGAUGAACUGUGGGGGAAGGUGCUCUCCGGGAGGUACCUGUAUUCUCAGGAGGAACCUAGUGUGAGGCUGCACAGAACAGGAAUGCACCAUCUGUCCAACUAACCAAUGGAGGGGACCAGCAGGGGCCGAGACCUUUGUGGCACUGCACUGCCAUGGGAGGACCUUCGCCCCGCAUGCUCCACCCUGUCAGGCCGUCCUGCAGAGGCCGGGUUACCUAAAAGCUAAAAACAACAACAGAAAGAACAGGCUCGUCAGUUCAUGCAUGGCAACAUCCUGCUUACACGGCUGGACACGGAUCGGGUCAAUCACAGUUGGAAGCACAAGCUCUAAAGGCAACUAAACUUAGCUUUUAACUGAAAGGUUAGCUGAAAAGUGGGCACUGCUGCCUGGCAAACCUGCAAAAGAAAAUAAAUGGUUCCCUGAUUUAUGGCAGAGCUUUGUAAACCAGCAGUCGCACGUCAGAACAAAAAGAAAAGAAAAGAAUAAUUUCUGAAAUAUUCUUUUGCCUUUGUUGUUGCGGCUAAGGUGGCGUUGGAGUGUCCUGAAGAGUGGCACGGGCAGGCUGAGGGCUGGGCAGGUGGGGCUGCCCUGGCACACCUGGAGUGCCAGCCUGGAGCUGCAGCAGGAGCCAGGACGGCUCCUGGCCCUGGGCAGGUGCAGGAGGGCUGCAGACCCCCCUGGCACUGCUGGCUCUGCUGCCUGGGCACUGCAGGGGCUGUGGGCGCUCUCCUGAGCUCGUCCUGCUGUCCCUGGCACCAGCACAGCCCGGGCACUGCUGCUGGGAGGAGCUGUGGGGGCACUCCAGCCUGAGCUGGGAGGCUCCAGGAGCAGCAGCUGAGCUCUGCUCCCUGCGGAACAGGCCAGGAUGCAGCGAGCACCCUGGGCUGCAGGCAGAGCCGGCUCUGCUCCCUGCGGAACACACCAGCACUCAGUGUCACCCUGGGCUGCAGGCAGAGCUGGCUCUGCUCCCUGCGGAACACACCAGCACUCAGUGUCACCCUGGGCUGCUCCCUGCGGAACACACCAGCACUCAGUGUCACCCUGGGCUGCAGGCAGAGCUGGCUCUGCUCCCUGCGGAACACACCAGCACUCAGUGUCGCCCUGGGCUGCAGGCACAGCUGGCUCUGCUCCCCGGGCAUGGGUCCCUCCCUCACACCUGGAGGCUCCUCUGGACAUGAGUGGGCAGAAAUGCAAACAAGGAGGUGCAGAGCAGAGCAUCCCUGGCAGGUGUGCAUGGCCCUGGGCUCCCUUGGCAGCAGCUCUGUGCCUGCAUUCUCUGCAGAGAUGCAGUCUGCAACUUCAAAGGCAAGAAGAGAUGGUCUGACAAGGACGGCAGCGUGGUGACAGCGCGGAGAUAAGGCAGAAAAUGGAAAUGAUGAAGCUGUGACUCCAUAAAUCUGGGUCACUGGCACACUGGGGGAGAGUCUUGAUUCUUGUCUUGAGAUGUUCCAUGAUAAAGAGCAUAUCCUGAAAAUUCUGGGAAUGAGAUGAAUAAAAACAACAUGAUGAAAUGAAUUCCUUGACAAUAAUUAAAAAAAAAUUAAAAAUAUGGAUGAAACAUUUCUCCAGUUAAAAAUGCA